GAUUCGCAUGUUGGGAAAAAGCCGUCAACUAUGUCCAUCGACGAAGCCUAUGGAAGCUAAAACUAAAAUAGGAUCCCCAGGGGCCUUAGACGAAGGCGAGAUCAAGAAGGCAUACUCUCGACUGGCGGAAAGGAAAACAAGAGGAGAUAAGAAAGAGGCUGAACGAAAAGCUGGAAUGAAAACAAGAGAAGAGAAAAAAAGGAGGGGCGGGACGGAAAAUAGAAGAGCCGAGAGAGAUACGAGAAUGAAGGGAAUCAAGAGAAAAUAAAGGGAAUCAAGAAGGAAGACUCAAGCAGGAAGACUCAAGCCGCAAGACUCAAGCCGCAAGACACAAGCCGCAAGACUCAAGCAGCAAGACUCAAGCAGCAAGACUCAAGCCGCAAGACACAAGCCGCAAGACUCAAGCCGCAAGACUCAAGCAGCAAGACUCAAGCAGGAAGACUCAAGCAGGAAGACUCAAGCAGGAAGACUCAAGCCGUAAGACUCAAGCCGCAAGACUCAAGCCGUAAGACUCAAGCCGCAAGACUCAAGCCGCAAGACUCAAGCAGGAAGACUCAAGCAGGAAGACUCGAGCCGCAAGACUAUUAUUUAUUAGAAAUAACAACAUUACAUCGAUAGAGAAUCUCUCGUUGCAAAUAAUGUGUAUCAUGUUGUACAUUCCCCUAGAAUCACCUUAUUGGUCACAUGCCAAAUGACUAGUGCCUCCGUAUUGCCUCUGGCAAUAUAUCUAAACUCCCUACAUAGGGUCUUUCGCCGGUUUCAGCUUUUACUUUGGCUAAAUUGAGGGUACUCACAUCGGGAAAAAUACCAAUAACAUUGUCUAGUUUUUUUUUUAGCAUUUUUAUCAUGAGCAUCCCAAACAAAUCCAAAAAUACUCAUCUUACUGGUAUAAUAUUAGCAGAAAAUACAAGAACAAGUCACAAAAAAGAUGAAUAACAACAUUAUUUUGAAAUAUUGACCAACUGGGGAACAUUUGAUUUGAACUUCACCAUAUAGCUUUGAUUUAGCCAAUGAGAGUGUGCAGUGUGAGUGCGUAGUUCUAAUCUGAGCGAGGAGCUUUGGAGGGUCAGUACGCAGCUCUUACAAGCUGCAAUUUGAUUGGGCAAAUGAACAAUAUCCGCACCUCGACACAAAGAAUGAGAAGAAUAGAGACAAAAGAACUCCUUUGUAGAACAAAGAUAAUAGGAGACAAAGCAGCUGCGUACUUACUCCGAGUUAUAACACCCUAGAAUUACGCUUUUGUAGCAAAAUUAAAUUGUUUCAAUUUUA